rnacentral:lncRNA from 1 species
GUUGAGUGGCGUAUAAUAUAUUGGAAAAAUUUCAAAAAACCCUCCUGUAGUUUCGUAGUUUCUCACUUUGCCCCCAUGUGGUUUAAAAUGUAUCAAUUUCCUUCCCGUGGUUUCGUUUUUAUCUUUUCGGUAGCUUUUUCGUUAAUACUUCAUUAAAUUAUAUACAAAAAACUUCAGAUACCCAUCUAGAUUUAUCAAAUAUUCACUUUAGUACUCUUUAAUUUUAACUUUAUCACUAAUUUAAAAAAAAAAUAAUGAAAUCAAUAAGAAAAAGAGAAAAAAAAAAUCACAUGAAAGCAAAUUGAUACAUUUUAAACUACAGGAAGGCAUAAUGAAAAAGUACGAAACCACAGUGGAAUUUUUUGAAGUUUUUCCUAAUAUUUUUAAGCCCUUCAAUGCGAAUAAUCU